rnacentral:misc_RNA from 1 species
GAUGAAGAACGUAGCGAAAUGCGAUAAGUAAUGUGAAUUGCAGAAUUCAGUGAAUCAUCGAAUCUUUGAACGCACAUUGCGCCCGCCAGUAUUCUGGCGGGCAUGCCUGUUCGAGCGUCAUCACAACCCUCAGGCCCCCGGGCCUGGCGUUGGGGAUCGGCGGAAGCCCCCUGCGGGCACAACGCCGUCCCCCAAAUACAGUGGCGGUCCCGCCGCAGCUUCCAUUGCGUAGUAGCUAACACCUCGCAACUGGAGAGCGGCGCGGCCACGCCGUAAAACACCCAACUUCUGAAUGUUGACCUCGAAUCAGGUAGGAAUACCCGCUGAACUUAAGCAUAUCAAUAAGCGGAGGA